rfam:Myotis lucifugus cont2.21488, whole genome shotgun sequence.
CAUGCACCGGUGGGGUCCCUUGGCCUGGCCUGUGCCCUCUCACAAUCCAGGACCUCUUAGGGGAUGUCGGAGAGCCAGUUUUGGCCCAAUUCUGCAGGCCAGGCCAAGGGACCCCACUGGUGCACA